UACGUAGGGUGCGAGCGUUAAUCGGAAUUACUGGGCGUAAAGCGUGCGCAGGCGGUUCGUUGUGUCGGCGGUGAAAGCCCCGGGCUCAACCUGGGAAUGGCCGUUGAAACUGGCGAACUGGAGUGUGGCAGAGGGGGGUGGAAUUCCGGCGUGUAGCAGUGAAAUGCGUAGAUAUCGGGAGGAACACCUGUGGCGAAGGCGACCCCCUGGUUCGGAUACUGACGCUGAGACGCGAAAGCGUGGGGAGCAAACAGG
rnacentral:rRNA from 1 species